CUGAAAACCUGCAGCAAAAUCAGAUUAUAUUUGAGAGGGUUAAUGAAUUGGCUACAAAGAAAGGAUGUACUCCAUCUCAACUUGCAUUGGCCUGGCUUCAUCACCAAGGAAACGACGUGUGUCCGAUACCUGGAACAACCAAAAUUGAGAACUUUAAUCAAAACAUUGGAGCUUUGUCGGUAAAAUUAACACCAGAAGAACUGGCAGAAAUUGAGUCCUUAGCAGAUAUUGUUAAAGGCGAUAGAUCUGGGAGUGAACCUACAUGGAAAGACUCUGAUACUCCACCACUUUCUUCUUGGAAAACUGCAUAAUGAAGUGGUUUGAUUGCUUAUUAAUCGUAUCAACAUAAUUUUAAAUUGUGGUUGCAAUUACGCUAUGAAAUUUUAUUCUAUGUUAAAAUACGGGCAAAUGUGGCUGCAUAUUCGGUUGCAGACUACUAUUUAGAAUCAUAAAUAUCAGUAUUCCAUAUGUAUUUGAUGUUACUACCUUAAAAAUUAAUAAAUUGGUCCGAGGAAAAGGAUUUUGGUUGUAUAAACAUCUAUAGUUUCUAGCAUAUGUGUGAUUUGAACUCUAAUGAAUAUGACUCUAUUAUAUUGAGUUUAAUAAAUUUUAUCCAUAAAUUGUAAUAGCUAAUAAAUUUUGCAUAGGUUUUAAUUUUUUAUAUGCGUAUCAUGUUUUCUAAUUUUAGACCAGAAAAUAUGUUGUAACCAAAAAAUGUCCAGAAAAUAUGUUUGUUUUUGUUGUUUAAAUUUGAGAUCUAAAAUGGAAAACAACAUAAAAACUAGUAAUUGAAAUUGUCUCAAGGCAACACAGCAUUCAUAAAUACAACCAUAUGACAUACAUAAACAAGAAAAUAUAAAAAUCAACACAUGGUCCAUGCAUGGGUCCAAAGAACCAAUGUGGUGUCACCUCAAAAGGUUCAAAGAAGUCAUGUUGAUAUACGUAAUAAUUGAAGGAUACAUUUUGAGUAAAUUAUACACGCUCUUUUUUUUGUCAAGUAGUUUAGUGGCUAGACUCACACAUUUAAAUGUAAAAAAAUGUAGAACCUGAGAUUCGAAUCCCGACCACCCCAAUACACACUCUUCUCUUCUAAAACAGUAACAUUAGCAUCCUAAUAGAUACACGCGUAGACGCGCGUGUACCAUGCCAAGAUCAAGUUCACCAAAAACAAUUAUAGACAGAAAAGUAAACUAGGUUGAAAAAAUGUGACAAUGGGGCCUGACCUUCCUUUCUAACAAUCAAGUGAUAAUGGUGAUGUUUUCUUUGCAGGCAUUGUUAGGUAGACGUUGAGGAUAAAUUUUUCUCUCGAGAAGCCCCGUGGGGGACGGGGACCUGUUGUAGUAGUUCCUCGGUUUUCAGAUAAUGGACGCUUUAACAGACAUUGAGUUGAAUUUGCCGUAUGGAAUUUAUGUAUGUGUCUCUGAAUCAAAUUAAAAUUAUUAGCUAAUAGAUACAAUUUUUUUGUAUUGUUUAUCAUAUUCUCUUUAAUUUGUAGAAAUUGAAAUUUAGCUAAGAUGUUGAAUCAAUUUUUUACAUCAGGAUAGUAGUCAUGCAAAUAUGACAUUGCGUGGAUCACUGAGAAAUUUUCAGCACAAAUCGUGAUUGAUACUAUAAUGUUCUGCUUAAAGUAUCAAUGUUGAGUUCUUCGGUCCAAGCUUAAUGAUCAUAAAAGAAUAGAUGCAUGUAGUUUGUAUGCUUCAUUAUGCCAAAAAUCAUUAGUUUUGGUGUCAUGAACUCUACAAAUAUGAAGUCACGAAUAUUUCAUACACUUCAAUAUAGUUAAAUAUGUAGGCUUAUGCAAUUUGUCAUUUUAUAUUAUUAACAUGCAUGUUGUAGGUGAAAUUGGUAGCUCUACUGACUCGAGCUAAGGGUGAAAGUAGCUAAGGGAGAAAACGACAGAUAUUAGAGAUAAUACAAUGUAUGCAUUGACUUUAAACUAUUAGUAUUGGAGCAUAUGAUACUUUUCUUUAAAGAAUCAAUUUUGAAUUUCAUAUAUACUAGGAGGAAUAAAUAAUUUCUAUAACACUANNNNNNNNNNNNNNNNNNNNNNNNNNNNNNNNNNNNNNNNNNNNNNNNNNNNNNNNNNNNNNNNNNNNNNNNNNNNNNNNNNNNNNNNNNNNNNNNNNNNNNNNNNNNNNNNNNNNNNNNNNNNNNNNNNNNNNNNNNNNNNNNNNNNNNNNNNNNNNUAUAUAUAUAUCUAAAAUAUUAUAUAUUUAUGAAUAUUAGAAUAUCUUAUUUAAGUUACUUCAAACAUUUUUAUGUUACUCAUUUUGCCACAAUAGCUCCAAUCUUAUGAAAAUAAAAAAUAAAUAAGUUCAUUUAGAUCGAUGCUCUUAGUGGAAAUAUAUAUAUGCAAUGACUUGAUGGCCAAGUUUUGUGCUCCUCGGAUUAAGACAUUCGUCUAGUUGCCAAAUUGGAACUUAAUUUUUCUCCUUGUUUUUCCUUUCCUUGACUUUUCUUUAUAAUUUAAUUUUCACCUUUUAAUCAAAGUUUACCCUUUAAUUUCUUUUGUCGUAUGAUGAAAAAUAAUUAUAAAUAGUGCAAGGGGAGGGGAUACAAUUGACAACUUUAACUUUGUGUGGCCUUUACAUAGAAAGAGAAAACAUUUUGUUUAGUGUUGUAUUGUGAGACUCAUAGCAAUGGCAAAAGUGGGAAGAAUGAAGUUGGGAUCACAAGGUAUGGAAGUGUCUUUACAAGGACUUGGUUGCAUGAGCAUGUCUGCUUUUUAUGGUCCUCCUAAGCCUGAACCUGACAUGAUUUCUCUCAUCCACCAUGCCAUUCAAUCUGGUGUCACUCUUCUUGAUACUUCUGAUUUCUAUGGCCCUCAUACAAAUGAACUCCUUCUUGGAAAGGUUCUGAUCACUUUUUCUUAUUAAUAUAUUAUAUUUAGUCGUUUAAUUAUACUUUACUACCUCUCAGCCGAAUUCUAGCUUUUCGAGGCUCUUCAAUAGAGGGCUAAAAAAAAGAACAAAUGAUUGUGAAUUUGUGAUGAAGUGUGCAUGUUUGAAAUUGUGGAACAGGCUCUCAAAGGAGGGGUAAGAGAAAAGGUUGAAUUGGCUACCAAGUUUGGAGCUAGAACUAUUGAUGGGAAGUUUGAGAUUUGUGGUGAUCCAGCUUAUGUGAGAGAAGCUUGUGAAGCCAGCUUGAAAAGACUUGAUAUUGAUUGUAUUGAUCUCUAUUAUCAACAUCGUAUUGAUACUCGUCUUCCAGUUGAAGUCACGGUUUGAUUCUUCUAACUUCUCUUUAAUUUGAUUUUGGUAGUAUAAAAUGUGUAUACCGUGAAGCAUUGUCUAAGCUAUGAAAUUGAAUUAUUUAUUCAAAUAUAUACAAAGACAAUUUGUGACAACUUCAACUUUUCCCUUUUUUUAUGGAAGAUUGGCGAGCUUAAGAAACUUGUUGAAGAGGGAAAAAUAAAAUACAUUGGUUUGUCUGAGGCCUCACCUUCAACAAUCAGAAGAGCACACGCAGUUCAUCCGAUAACAGCUGUGCAAUUAGAGUGGUCACUUUGGUCAAGAGAUGUGGAAGAAGAAAUAAUUCCAACUUGCAGGUUUGAUUUAGUUUACAACCAUUAUCUUCUGUUAUCUAGCAUUUGUCUUUCUAGUAAUUUGAUAAAAUUGUAAUGAUAUGAAUCACCGACACAAACACUGGAUACGAUAAUAACAUGUAGAUACCAGUAAUAGUUUCAGAAAAUGAAAGUGAUAAAUUGUAACUACAUGUAUUGGCGUCAUGUCUGACACCAAACACCUCUUUAAUCUGAAUUGUCGGUGCUAAUGAGCUAUGAUUUUAUUUCUUAGGGAACUUGGUAUUGGAAUUGUUGCAUAUAGUCCUCUUGGGCGAGGAUUCUUUUCAUCUGGAACAAAGAUUGUUGAGAACUUCACAAAGGAUGACUUCCGCCAGGUUUGAGGCACUUAAAUAGUAUUCGUAAACACAAUUGGCUACAUCAUUGAGACAUAAUUAGAAUCAUCCACCCAUCAUUGAUAUUGUUACCAAAAAAUAUUUUUGCAGGAUAUGCCUAGAUUUCAGCCUGAAAACCUGCAGCAAAAUCAGACUAUAUUUGAGAGGGUUAAUGAAUUGGCUACAAAGAAGGGAUGUACACCAUCACAACUUGCACUGGCCUGGCUUCAUCACCAAGGAAACGACGUGUGCCCGAUACCCGGAACCACCAAAAUUGAGAACUUUAAUCAAAACAUUGGGGCUUUGUCAGUAAAAUUAACACCAGAAGAAAUGGCAGAAAUUGAAUCCUUAGCAGAUAUUGUUAAAGGUGAUAGAUCUGCGAAUGCACCUACAUGGAAGGACUCUGAUACUCCACCACUUUCUUCUUGGAAAAAUGCUUAAUGAAAUGGUUUGAUUUCAUAUUGCGCAUAUCAACAUAGUUUUAAUUUGUGGUUGCAGUACGCUGCAAAAUUUUAUAUUGUGUUAAAAUACAAGCAAAUGUGGAUGCAUUUGUGGAUGCGGGCCACUAUUUAGAAUCAUGCAUAUUAGCAUGCCAUGGAUAUUUGAUGUUACUGCCUUAAAAAAUAAAUUGGUAUGAGGAAAAGGAUUUUGGUUGUAUACAUACACUUCAUUCAUAAUAGUAGCAGCAAUAUAAUUGAGAAUUACAUCAAAUAGACUGUGAGAAGUAAACUUAAAAUAAACUACUAGCUCGUCUCUACAUAAACUACUUCCCUAAGUAGUGUUUUUAUUCCAAACUUAGAAGUGAGCGGUACACUGGUCAAGGGUAACCGUCGGUUCCCAUAAAUUAAUUGAGCUACCAUGAAGUUUAUAAUCUAGUUAGAGUCCUUCAGGACGUGAUGACCAGUCCAUUUUACUCAGUUUCGCGUGUUAGCUCCUGAUCCAUUAUUUUUAUACUCUGCAUAAUAAAGAGCGAUCCGCAGAGAUUUUUAUACUCUGCAUAGAAGGUCAUGAUCUGCAGAGAUUUUGCAGAAUUGGAAUGAAAAUCCAAAUGGUUUGGUAGAAUCAUACAUUCCAUGGACACCGAUUAACAGGACCGUCCGUUAGAUUUUUGGUGCCCUAUGCAAGUUAUAAUUUUGUUAGAAUUCUUUUGAUAACUUUUAAUUUUUCAUAAGAGUCUAGGUCUAUUUUAAAAUUUAGUUAUAAAAUAUUUAUUUAAUUUAUUUAUAUUAACACACGGACGCACGCACGCACGCGCGAGUGCAUUCAUGCACAUACACACACUAGUAUAAAAAAAAAAUUCAAAUCAUAUUGAAAAAGUGGCAACAAAAUAAAAGUAGAAGAGAAAAUUUGAAGUGUGGGAUAUUGGUAUCCUUACCAAAGUUAGCUGUGUAAUACGAUGUCAAAUGAUUUUGGCGGCAACUCAAAUUACUGGAGAUCGCCGUGACAUUCAUACCAUCAUCCGUCCGAUUUUAAUGAACGGUCCAGAUUAUUUUGAUGCAUGUGAUUGUAAGCUGUUUGAUGUAAAAUCAAUAGAUGAGAACAAUUACUGCGUACUACCGUGUUCUUUUAUCACUGCAGCGAAUUGCAAGAGUGUUCACAUUGCAGCUUCACUCACCAUAAUUUUUCAUCACCUUCAAAGAAUAACUAGUCAUUUAUCUCAAGAAGCAGUGCUUAAAUUAUGUUAGUCCUCUAACAAGAAAUUGAAAUAAUUUCUGAUGAACAAGUUUUUCAUUAAUUCCAAUCUACAAUUUGCUACUUAAUUAAUAAAAUAUUUUAAUCAACAGAUCAAGUGAUAAUUACAACAAAAUCAGUAAUGUCAUUCACAUUGAUAUUUCCAUCAUCUGCGUAACGUAAUAAUAGCCCCAAGUUUAGUACCUUCAUAUUAAUCACCUACUACUAAUUAUUGCAAAUUAAAGUAAGUAUUGCACAAAAUUAUGAAUAUGAAGUUAGUUAUAUAUCAGCAAAAGGUAUUGAUUUCACCAAAUUCAGGACUAGACAAAGUUUUACCAUUUUCAAUUACUUCAUAAACAAACAAAUGAUCCUCUUUAUCAUUUUAAACCUCAAUGGAUGGUGAGUUCUCAUAACAGUUUCCACAAAAAUCCAUUUCUAAAUUCUGCACAUAUCUUUGUGCUGCUGGUCUAAGGCAUUAUUAAAGGAUUCACAUGUAAUUGAAUUGUAUUAUUAGGAGAAUUGUUCGGAUAAUGCAGAAUUUGGUAGUAUGCCAAAACUACUAAAGAUAAAUAACACAAGGAUAGAUGAUAAAAACAUAUAUCAUAACUCAUCAAAAUGGAGGGUAUGCAAAGACCAUCCAUCACUGUCACGAGUUUGAUAAAGAGAUUUUAAAAACAAAAAAUAGAGUUUUAAGAAGCCGAUGAUGGUGUUUGUUGAUUCCUUAGAACACUAGUUAGGAGUUGCCUCAACUCUUCAUCCCGCUUCUCCCUCAAAUCCAUUAACCUUAACAUCUCUUCUUGUUGUUUGGCCAGACGAGCGAGUUCCUGUUGAUUUUUCAAGGAUUGCUCUUUUAACAAAACCACAACUUCGUGAUCACUUUCUUUUCUUUCUUUUUCUUCAACUGUUUCUUUACCUUUUGCUUCAGCAAUCAUAUCAGAGUGAAACUGAAGCUCAUGCUGCACAGCAGUUACUUUUUUUCUCAUAGAAAAUCUUUUGCUUUCACCUUGAGACAUCCUUGCUUCUUUGCUCCCAUGUGCAUCUUCAAAAACUUCCUCCAAACUCUCUAUUGUAGGUUCAAUGUUAGCUGCUGAAAUUGGCCUUUUCAGUGGUAAUAUCUUUCCAUGAUAUUCUGAAGAGCCUAAACAACACUGGCUCAAUACCGAUUGCUUCCACCACGUUGAAUAACGGGAGGUAACAUCAGCCUCAAAAAAUCUCGAUGGAAAAUACAAAUCUUUAUCCAUUAUGGGCCUGCAGUAGUUUUUCCAAGCAAUCUCUUUAGUCUCACUGAACCUAGGCACACAACCUGGAACAUCUUGAUCAAUUCCAAAUUGCAUUGCCACUCUAUGUGGAAGAUAUUUCUCUAUAGAGUCAAAUCCAACAAGCUCCAAAACUCUUAAGCAUAUAAUGAAUGAGAGCAUUUGUUUAUCCAAAUCCUUCUUAAAUGGUACCAAAUUUUCAUCAUUUGGAUAAAACAUCCCAUACAUACCAGAAGAUCUAACAUAUGGACGCCAAUGAAAAUCAUCCUUAGCCGAGUCUAAUGCCAACCUAACAUUGUCAAUUUCGAAAUCUUUAACCCUACGCCACCUAAACAACAAAGGGUCUCCAUGGUCGAUUAACGAGGGUUGUGGUUGUAAGGUUUUGAACCUCUCCCACACCCAAAUUUGAACCAAGUAAAAGGGCGAUGAAAGAGUAACUUCUAGAGGAUAUCUAUCAGCUAUUGUUUUCUUAAACAAAGUUAAAUCCCUAUAUAUGCUAGCUAAAACAGCCGGUGCCAAAGCAAUUGGAUUCCCUCUAGCAAGAUGAAUAGCAAUUGGAAACAAACAACUUUUGACCAAAAUUCUAUGAGGAAAAACAAAAGCCGACAACCAAGUAGCAAGAAAUGCUUCAUGUUCAAUUUCACUACCUUUAUCAAUGAAAAUAUCCAUCCAUAAUGAUGUUGUAGCCUUACCUCCUUUAUUAGUAAGUUGUUGUCUUGCAAGGAUCAAUUUCUCUUCAACUUCUCUCAUUUCUUGGUCUUGAAGUGAAAUGAAAACAGGAUCACCAACAACAGGGUAACCCCCUAAAACCAUGACAUCUUCCAAAGUGAUAGUUGCCUCACCAAAUGGAAACACAAAGGUAUUUGUCUCGGAACACCAUUUCUCAACAAUACCAUAUAGCAAGUCAUGAUAUUUCUUUAUGCGACACUUUGUGCUCAUUAUAGCUUCAAAGAUACCAACUUUCUUCCACACUGUUUCAUAUCUCAGUUGAAGUUGAUCAACCCAUUUAAGCCAUUUGGUUUGUGAAUAACGCCACCCAUUGAAAUGGAUUUUCAAAGGCCAUUCAUUUGGGUCAAAAUGGGUUACACUUGAAAAUGGGUUACACUUGAAAGAUGAUUCUUCAAUGGAGUUUGCAAUUGGUUUGAGAAAAUGAGCAGUUCUGAAAGUUGGUUUACUGUCACCAGCUGGUGAAAGCAUGAAAUCAUCCCUCACCUCCAUGAUUGGUUCAUUCAACAUGAUAUGAUAUUCUUCAAAAAGCUUAAGCCUUUUUUUUUACUGAAAAACACUACAAAAUGAAAAUGUGAUAAUGAAACUAUUUUGUUUUUUCUUCUGAAAAAUGAUUUGCAUUCACCACUUUAGGCGAAGUUUAAGGAGUCCGUGGAAAAUUGUGAAUGGUGAAUGGUGAACGUGUGUAGAAAACCCAAAUUACCCUUUUGUCCUUUUAACAAAUUUCUUAACCCAAACAAUUUAAUUUUUUUGGUUUAAUAUUUAAAUAUUUUUAAACUAAUAAAAUAAUUUAGAAAAUUUAUUAAUGAGUUGGAAAGCUCAAGAUAAUUGUCAUUGCUAUGGCUAAGCACGAGAAUACAAUGGCUCCUCUCGUUGUGGUUUUUCUUUUAUAUGUUUUUGUUUUGGACUGGAUUUAGAGCACAAUCGUUGAGGAAAUCAUCUCUUGGACUAUUGAGUAAGACUCAUUUGCGGAGCAAUUCAUGAAAACUUUCCUCUGAUCAACGGUCACAAUAUCCUUGCGUGUUGUAAUAGUCGACUAUCAGAAUGAUUAAAAUUAACUUCUCAUCAUGGCUCUCAAGCCAUUUUUCGACAGUCAUUGAUAACAUUAAUGACCAUUAACGAUCUUAACUCAACGUUGAAGACUAUAUACACAUCUAUAAUGAAAGACUGAAAGUAAAAUUCAUUUGAUGCAUCCCACCAUUUGAUUUAGUAAGGUUAUAUAAGAGAAAAUUUUAGCAAUUGUGCUUCUAAAAGAACUAAAAAAAUUGUGUAAAAAAAAAAACUAAAAUUUUAGGACAAAAAUAAAUUGCUUGAUGGACCAAAAAUCAAGGAUAAAAGAAGUAAUAAUAAAUAACAAUUGCAACUUAAUUUUUUGGCAAAAAAAGUCAAAGUCAAAGUCAAAUUAAUACCUAAUUUAUUUUAAUUGAUCAAUAUUAAAUUUCACCGUAGUUAAAUAUGGAAUAUAAGCAAAAACAGUUUUUUUUAAUUAAUUAAACAAUCAAUGAAUUUGGAAUAUAACAUAGACUAGAUUCAUUGAUUAUUCAAAAAUUUUAAAAAAUUAUUUUUUACUUAUAUUUGAAAUCCAAUGGAGUAUAAUAAGGAAAAUCAAAGCAAUUGGCAAAUAUACAAUGGGGGGCAAGAAAAUUGAGAAUACAAUGUCUCGUUUCUCUUCUAUUCUUGUGGUUUUUCUUUUAUGUGUCGCAUUUGUCUAUGCAGUUAAGUUUGUAGAUGUGAAUACUAUUUGUAAGAAAGCAAAAAAUCAUUCAUUUUGCUCAGCUCUUCUAAAUUCAAAUCCCAGUAAAAGUCGAGAUCUCGUUAGCCUUGCAUUAUACACCAUCGAUGUGGGUCAUAUAAACGCGACCAACGCCCUCAAUCUAUCGGACACACUAGUCGCAAAAAGUAGCCAUGAUCUUGAGGCAUACACAUAUUAUUCAGUAUGUUCUAAUGAUUUUAAGGAAAUUGUCAAUAUCCUUAAGGUUGCUCAAGUUGACUUGAAGAGCAAAAACUACAANNNNNNNNNNNNNNNNNNNNNNNNNNNNNNNNNNNNNNNNNNNNNNNNNNNNNNNNNNNNNNNNNNNNNNNNNNNNNNNNNNNNNNNNNNNNNNNNNNNNNNNNNNNNNNNNNNNNNNNNNNNNNNNNNNNNNNNNNNNNNNNNNNNNNNNNNNNNNNNNNNNNNNNNNNNNNNNNNNNNNNNNNNNNNNNNNNNNNNNNNNNNNNNNNNNNNNNNNNNNNNNNNNNNNNNNNNNNNNNNNNNNNNNNNNNNNNNNNNNNNNNNNNNNNNNNNNNNNNNNNNNNNNNNNNNNNNNNNNNNNNNNNNNNNNNNNNNNNNNNNNNNNNNNNNNNNNNNNNNNNNNNNNNNNNNNNNNNNNNNNNNNNNNNNNNNNNNNNNNNNNNNNNNNNNNNNNNNNNNNNNNNNNNNNNNNNNNNNNNNNNNNNNNNNNNNNNNNNNNNNNNNNNNNNNNNNNNNNNNNNNNNNNNNNNNNNNNNNNNNNNNNNNNNNNNNNNNNNNNNNNNNNNNNNNNNNNNNNNNNNNNNNNNNNNNNNNNNNNNNNNNNNNNNNNNNNNNNNNNNNNNNUCGAGGGUCAGUUCUGAUAUUCCAGCCCCCUCCCAAUCGUAGUUGCGGUGGAUCGAACCAUGAUCCUCCCUACCAAAUUCAGUGUCAAUCACCACUGAACCAAAAAUAACUUGGAUUUUGUUUAGUAUGAGUAUAAAUUUAGCUAUUAAAAUAAUAAACAUUUAUAAAUAUAUUUAUUAUAUUAUAUAUUUAUCUAAACUAAUUUUUUUAAAAAACUCUUGAAAUAAAAUUAAAAAAAAUUGAAACUUAAAAAUGUUCUUGCUUGAGUAGCUUGGGCGGACCCUACAAAGGCUGAAUUCAAGUAUUGUACAAGAAUCUUCCGUUUAAAGACAGAAUAAGAAAGAUAUAAUUUAGUACAUUUAAGACCUACCUAUUUAUAACAUCGUAGAUUUGUUCACUUUUGCAGCAAUCACAGUGUCAAAACAAUGGCAAAAGUGGGAAGAAUGAAGUUAGGAUCACAAGGUUUGGAAGUUUCCUUACAAGGACUUGGUUGCAUGGGCAUGUCUGCUUUUUAUGGUCCUCCUAAACCUGAAUCUGACAUGUUUGCUCUCAUCAACCAUGCCAUAGAAUCUGGUAUCACUUUUCUUGAUACUUCUGAUAUCUAUGGUCCUCACACCAAUGAACUCCUUCUUGGAAAGGUUACAACUUUCUUAUACCCUUUUGGUUUUUCUUUUGAUUGCAUCUAUUAAUUUUUUUUUGGUAUGCACCAUUAUGAAUUUAUGAUAUUGUUGUUGCAGUUUGGUUUUUGUUGUAUUAUGUGGUAUGAGUCUAUAUGAAUGGAAUUGAAAUGUUUAUUGUGUUGUGUAUGAUUUGAUGAAGUGUGAAAAUUGUUGAAUAUAGGCUUUGAAGGGGGUGAGAGAGAAGGUUGAAUUGGCUACUAAAUUUGGAAUUAGAGCUUCUGAAGGGAAAUUUGAGAUCUGUGGUGAUCCAGCUUAUGUCAGAGAAGCUUGUGAGGCUAGCUUGAAGAGACUUGAUAUUGAUUGUAUUGAUCUCUAUUAUCAGCAUCGGAUUGAUACUCGUCUUCCGAUUGAAGUCACGGUAUGAUCCUUUAUAUAUCUCUGUCACUGUGAUUUGAUUUUGGUUGCUGUGCUUACACUAAGUACCAUUAAGCUUUGUUUUGCUUCUGGAAAUGAUAUGAUUCCAUAUUGGAAUGCAUUUUUAUAUUUCACCUAAAAGUAGGAAUUAGGUCAAAUUAUUUCAUUUAAGAUUUGAAAUCAUAAACCUCGAGGGUUGGCCAGGUGGUGUAGACUUGGAAACCGGAGUGUGCUCAGUGCUCCUCUCUAGGUCUUUGGUUUUAAUCCUCCCAAGUGCCAACUUCUGUGUUGAGCCAUUCCAAACGAGGCAUUGCUCUGGCUUCAAUGGGCCGCCCCGUUGUUGGAUAGUGGGAUUUAUCCCCCAGAUUAGUCAGUCUUUGGCGAGAUACCAAGUUUCUAACAAAAAAAUAUUUAAAAUCAUAUUUUUAAAUCUGUGAAACACUUCUCAGAUCCCCAAAUCAUCAAAUUAAAAUCAUAUUUUCUCUAAUACCAUCAAUUAGCAUUUACCCUCAAUGAUUUGAUUGGGAUAAUUUGAACCAAGAUAUCAAAUAUAUAGAAAGACAUGUGUAAUGACUUCAACUUUUUUUGGCUUUCUUUGUAAGAUUGGGGAGCUUAAGAAACUUGUUGAAGAGGGAAAAAUAAAAUACAUUGGUUUGUCGGAGGCCUCAGCUUCAACAAUCAGAAGAGCACAUGCAGUUCAUCCGAUAACAGCUGUGCAGCUAGAGUGGUCACUAUGGUCAAGAGAUGUUGAGGAAGAAAUAAUUCCAACUUGCAGGUGUGAUAAAUAGUUUUUAAACAUUAUGUUUUGUUAUCUAGCAUUUUUCUCUCUGGUACUUUGAUAAUAUUGCAAUGAUAGCAAAAGCUAUGAAGCACCGACACAUACAUUGAACACAACACUGACACAGACACCAGUGACAAUUAAAGAAAAUGGAAGUGAUUGAAUGUAAUGUAACUACAUAUGUCAGUGUCGUGUCAGAUACCAAACACACAUUUAAUCUGAAUUGCCAGUGCUACAUAGAUACGAAGUCUAACUUCAUAAGUUUUGAUUUUUUUUCUUAGGGAACUUGGUAUUGGAAUUGUUGCGUAUAGUCCUCUUGGGCGAGGAUUCUUUUCGUCAGGAACAAAGUUACUUGAUAACUUGCAACAGGAUGACUACAGGAAGGUUUGUUGAAAGCUUGCUCUUAAUCAACUGACCUAGUAUUACUUCACAAACAUGAAUUACUUUAUGGUCCUUGAAUGUCAAGGUCACUAAAUGACAUCUAAUUCUGUUUUAGUUAGUCAUAAAUCAAUUGUUAAACUUCAAAACUGUUUGGAGAUAUGCUUGGCAGUAAUGAAUAUAAUUCAGAACUCUAAAAAAAUAAAAAGGUACAUGUGAUCAAUAUGUGGCAAUGCCCUUAGUAUAGUUUUCCGAAGAAAACAAAGUAAACGCAGAAGUAUCCACUCCGCAUAGUUGUUUGAUUAUGCAUUCUCAUGACAAUUGGAGGGUGUGAAAUGUGAAUCUAUAUCUAUAUAUAAAGGGAAUACCAUGUUUUGGUGCUGUAUUUUUGUUUAUCAACUUUACCCUUCAUUUAAAUUAUUUACACUUAUAUGUAUGUAUGUAAAUAUGUUGCAGCAUUUGCCUCGAUUUCAACCUGAAAAUUUGCAGCAGAAUCAGACUAUAUUUGAUAAGGUUAAUGAACUGGCUGCAAAGAAAGGAUGUACUCCAUCUCAGCUUGCACUAGCUUGGCUUCAUCACCAAGGAAAUGACGUGUGUCCAAUACCUGGAACCACCAAAAUUGAGAACUUGAAUCAAAACAUUGGAGCUUUAUCAGUGAAACUAACAUCAGAAGAGAUAGCAGAAAUUGAGUCCUUAGCAGAUUCUGUUAAGGGUGGUAGAUAUGGGAAUGAAAUAAGUACAUGGAAGAAUUCUGAUACUCCACCACUCUCUUCUUGGAAUGCUGCAUAAUUAAGUGGUUUGCUUGCUUAAUUCUCAUACUAAUGUAACUUGGCAUUUGCUGCUGUUACCUUGAGAAAUAAAUCAGUAUGAGUUUGUUUUUUAAUAAAUUUGGUUGUAUAAAUUACCUGUUUUACAAACUGAAACGGACGGUUCAAUAGAUUGAAUCUCGGUUUGAGGGGUUUAAAGCAGUUGAACCAUGACCCGUCGUAGGUCUGUGUGGUUCGAUGUCCGGUUUGGUUUUAAAACAUUGAUAUAAACCUUCAUAGUUUAUAGUAUUUGAUGUCAUGUGGCUUUUUAUAUGGUUUGAACUCUAUUGAACAUGAGUACAUAUAAAUUGUUACAUGUUUAAUGGCAUUUUUGGGCUCAAUUAAAUAUUUGUUUGAUAAACUAUUAUAUUGAUUCCUUCUCCUUCAAGGAGGCCAACAAUUUUUGGGCGUUCUUCAUAGCCUCCUCACUAGUCUCCUCACUUUGGCCUCUAGGACAGCAACCUUCUCACCCUCUCUUUCCAACUUCUUUUCAGCCUUGGUUAGUUAGGACCAGAGUUUCGUUGCUACUUUGAGUUUCUCUCCCUUACCUUCAACAACAAGCUCAAUCUCAAGUUUUUCGGCCUCCAACUUACUCACUUUGGACCUCAAGGUCUCAACCUUUGUCGAAAACUCCUCACUCGUCGUCAGCAUGGUGCACCCUAAAGUCACUAAUGUGGCAAAUUUAAGCGAGGAAUGCUGCCAUGCAAAAAUGCUACAAACUAGCUGCUUGGAAGCAUGAUUCUCAUCACCAUACAUCUCCUUUUCCUCUCCACGUAAACUACCAUAGAGCUUAGACAAGACAAUGUGAUCUUGACAUUCACAAGAGUAGGGAAGUUUGAGCAAUAACUACUAAUAUGUUAAUGAUAGUUUGUUGUUGGUGCAAACCAGUUGUUGAUAUAGUUUCAUCCUUUACUGUUAGAAUUGUCGAUGUCCUUGAGGAUGCUCAAGUAUUCUUGAAGAGAAUUUCCCACAUUCGAAACCUCAAACGGGACAAUCUGCACGAGUAUCCGUACUUACGAAUAUAAUUUGAAAUGUCAACAACUAUGUUUAUGUUUGGAACACAGAAAUAGAUAAAGGGAAAAAGGAUUACAGGAAAGUAAGGUUGGAUGAUGCUGAGGAUGGAAGGAUCUGUUUGGUUCUAAACUGAUUCUCUCUUUUUCAUCUGUAUUUAGUGAAAUUGGUAAAAAUGAAAGUAGAGACCACGUGAAACACAUUACAUAAUAAGAAAGAUAUAAUUUACCUUUCAAAAAAGAAAGAUAGAUAAGUAAAUUUGAAGUUCAAUUUAUGUUUAGUGCUGUAUUGUGAGCUGAGACUCAUAGCAAUGACAAGAGUGGGAAGAAUGAAGUUGGGAUCACAGGGCAUGGAAGUGUCCUUACAAGGACUUGGUUGCAUGAGCAUGUCUGCUUUCUGUGGUCCUCCUGAACCUGACAUGAUUUAUCUCUUCCACCAUGCCAUUCAAUCUGGUGUCACUUCUGUGGAAGUCAUUUUUGUAAACGGGAGAGAAUGCGCUCACUCUUGACCACCACGCAUGCUGUCCGGCAUUUUGAGCUUAGGUAGUAGCUAGUACUUAGUAGUUAGUUACCUAUGUUAGUAGUUAGGGAACUUGGUAUUGGAAUUGCUGCAUAUUGCCCUCUUGGGAGAGGAUUCUUUUCAUCUGGAACAAAGUUGUUUGAGAAUUUGCAACGGGAUGAUUUCCUGAAGGUUCGUAAAAAAUAUGCUUUUAAAAAAAAUUCAUGUCAAUUAAUUGUUCAUUUUGUUAAUAUACUCACCUAGAGAUACCGUCACUAUAGUCUCUAAAUUUUUCAAAAUAGCAAAAACAUUUUGUUAAUAAUUUAUCGACCAAACCGAAUAGCACAAGACAUAUUUCAUGACCAAUUUAACUAACAAAGACAUAUUAUAUGAUGAUAGUGAGAAAAAAAUGACAGGUUGAGGGAUAUUUUUGUAAUAGCAUCUUCAAAGUUUUCUAUUUUAGUUAGUCAUACAACAAUUUUUAAACUCUUCAAAACUGUGGAAAUAUGUUGCAGUACUUGCCUAGAUUUCAACCUGAAAACCUACAACACAAUCAGACUAUAUUUGAGAAAGUUAAUGAACCAGAUGCAAAGAAAGGAUGUACUUCAUCUCAACUUGCAUUGGCCUGGCUUCAUCACCAAGGAAACGACGUGUGUCCGGUACCUGGAACCACCAAAAUUGAGAACUUGAAUCAAAACAUUGGAGCUUUGUCUAUUAAAUUAACACGAGAAGAAAUGACAGAAAUCGAGUC
rnacentral:lncRNA from 1 species